UACAGAGGGUGCGAGCGUUAAUCGGAAUUACUGGGCGUAAAGCGUGCGUAGACGGUAGCGUAAGUCAGAUGUGAAAGCCCCGGGCUCAACCUGGGAACUGCAUUUGAGACUGCUCUGCUCGGGUGCGGAAGAGGGAAGCGGAAUUUCCGGUGUAGCGGUGAAAUUCGUAGAUAUCGGGAGGAACACCAGUGGCGAAGGCGACCACCUGGACGGAUACUGACGCUGAGACGCGAAAGCGUGGGGAGCAAACAGG
rnacentral:rRNA from 1 species